UGGGGAAUAUUGCACAAUGGGCGCAAGCCUGAUGCAGCAACGCCGCGUGAGGGACGACGGCCUUCGGGUUGUAAACCUCUUCCAGCAGGGACGAAGCGUAAGUGACGGUACCUGCAGAAGAAGCGCCGGCCAACUACGUGCCAGCAGCCGCGGUAAGACGUAGGGCGCGAGCGUUGUCCGGAUUUAUGGGGCGUAAAGAGCUCGUAGGCGGCUUGUCGCGUCGACCGUGAAAACCUGGGGCUCAACCCCAGGCCUGCGGUCGAUACGGGCAGGCUAGAGUUCGGUAGGGGAGACUGGAAUUCCUGGUGUAGCGGUGAAAUGCGCAGAUAUCAGGAGGAACACCGGUGGCGAAGGCGGGUCUCUGGGCCGAUACUGACGCUGAGGAGCGAAAGCGUGGGGAGCGAAC
rnacentral:rRNA from 1 species